rnacentral:sRNA from 1 species
GGGACGGGCCUUUCAGGCAUCCUCUCCUAAUGACUUAUAGGGCUGGCUCCUCGGAGCCGGCCCUUUUUUUAUGCGCG